GACGAACGCUGGCGGCGUGCCUAAUACAUGCGAGUCGAACGAGAGCGACCUGUGCUUGCACUGGUCAAUCUAGUGGCGAACGGGUGAGUAACACGUGGGUAACCUGCCCAUCAGAGGGGGAUAACAUCCGGAAACGGAUGCUAAAACCGCAUAGGUCUUCGAACCGCAUGGUUUGAAGAGGAAAAGAGGCGCAAGCUUCUGCUGAUGGAUGGACCCGCGGUGCAUUAGCUAGUUGGUGAGGUAACGGCUCACCAAGGCCGUGAUGCAUAGCCGACCUGAGAGGGGGAUCGGCCACAUUGGGACUGAGACACGGCCCAAACUCCUACGGGAGGCAGCAGUAGGGAAUCUUCCGCAAUGGACGCAAGUCUGACGGAGCAACGCCGCGUGAGUGAAGAAGGUUUUCGGAUCGUAAAACUCUGUUGUUAGAGAAGAACAAGUGCUAGAGUAACUGUUAGCGCCUUGACGGUAUCUAACCAGAAAGCCACGGCUAACUACGUG
rnacentral:rRNA from 1 species